rnacentral:lncRNA from 1 species
UCUGACUGCUGUCCGAUAGAACUUUCCUUUCAACUUAAGUGGUACUUUCUUAUCGCACAAAACACCUGAGGCUCUUCUCCAUUUCAACCACCCAGCUUGAAUACGAUGACUUACAUCUGCUUCUAUUUCUUCGUCAUUUUGUACGAAGGACCCAAGAUAUUUAAACCGUGUAACUUGGGGUAUGAUAUGAUCUCCAACUUUCAC